rnacentral:sRNA from 1 species
CUGUUUCCACCUGUUGUGGACAUAUCCAAUGUAUAUGUGUGUCAAUGCCACCUGCUGUUAAGAUCUGCCCUUCACCCGCGAUCACUUCAGUUGCAGCACCCAAUGGAAUAUCAAUAUCAGGUUGAAUAUCAGGAUUGCCUGCUUUACCUAUUUUCCAAAUUCGACCAUUUUUAAGUCCAACAUCAGCCUUGAUAAUACCCCACCAAUCGACGAUAAGCGCAUUGGUAAUCACAGUAUCCGCAACUUCAUCUGCCAGUAAUUGCGACUGCCCCAUACCAUCACGA